rnacentral:rRNA from 1 species
GACGAACGCUGGCGGCGUGCCUAAUACAUGCAAGUCGAACGCAGUGGGGACGGGUGAGUAACACGUGGGUAACCUCCCAUCAGAGGGGAUAACACUUGGAAACAGGUGCUAAACCGAUACUGAUGGAUGGAACCGCGGUGCAUCAGCUAGUCGGGGAGGUAACGGCUCACCAAGGCCACGAGGCAUAGCGGGCCUGAGAGGAGGAUCGGACACACUGGGACUGAGACACGGCCCAGACUCCUACGGGAGGCAGCAGUAGGGAAUCUUGGUCAAUGGACGAAAGUCUGACCGAGCAACGCCGCUUGAGUGAAGAAGGUUUUCGGUUCGUAAAGCUCUGUUGUUAGAGAAGCGGUAUCUAACCAGAAAGCCACGGCUAACUACGUGCCAGCAGCCGCGGUAAUAC